AGUCAAAAACCAAUCUUAUGCAACGGGGUUCAUCUUAAUGACUUGGGGUUCCAUAAACUGUUUAGACAGAUUAGAGGUGUCAUAUUAAUUCAGCUAAGACAGGAACCCAAGCCUAGUCCUUCUGUAAACAGCAAUGACGACAAGGGCUUCUAGCUUUCAAAGCAUCCAGAUCAAUCUGCAGACAAGACUUUGCAUCACUUGUUAUAAUUUGUUUGGACAGAGAUUUAGAUGACAUCCAUACCAAAACGCAGGAGGCGGAACAAGGCAUCCUCGCAUCCUCCCACAUAAACCCAUCCUCAAAGCUGUCUUAUGUCUCCUGAGGACAUGGAAACGAUGAUAAGGACGUGCAUGGCCUCUAUCAUCCUAACCAUUGAAGAUACUUUUCGACGCAAUAUGGAUGAAUAUCCCCAUGGUGAGAGCAAUCCUUCAUUGUCAAUCCCCAUCCAGACUGCAACUUCACAACAACAAUCAGCCGACACUCAACAAGCCUCUUCGCAAGCAGUAACACCUGACCAUUCCCUACUGCAAGUGAUAACUUCUCAAGGUGAAAGAAUUCAAAGCCCGCUUUCCACAUAUGGACAACGAGCCAACUCCAGUUCCUCAAGCAUUAGUGCGGAUUUGACUGAAACAGCCAAUAUUUUAGUCCGCAACUUUCUGUCUGAAUCAACAUUAUCAGCUUA